UACGGGGGGGGCAAGCGUUGUUCGGAAUUACUGGGCGUAAAGGGCUCGUCGGCGGCCAACUAAGUCGGAUGUGAAAUCCCCAGGCUUAACCUGGGAACUGCAUCCGAUACUGGAUGGCUUGAAUCCGGGAGAGGGAUGCAGAAUUCCAGGUGUAGCGGUGAAAUGCGUAGAUAUCUGGAGGAAUACCGGUGGCGAAGGCGGCAUCCUGGACCGGCAUUGACGCUGAUGAGCGAAAGCUAGGGGAGCAAACGGG
rnacentral:rRNA from 1 species